AUAAAUACUUUCCUUUCUCUGUAUGCUAGUAAACCUUUAUAGUGAAAAUGAAGAAAUGGAAGUACUAGAAUCAAAUCCAAACUGCUCAGGGAGCUGACAUCCAGAAAAAAGGUUGUCCUGUCCAUUCUGUCCCUUUUGCUGUACCCAUGGUGACUGCAUCAGCCUGAGAAGACUGUGAUGUUACGUCUCUGCUUGAGAUGUUAGGGGACUGGAGAUGGCUCAGCAGUUAAGAGCUUUGGCUGUGGCUUGGGAGAAAACAAGGCUUGAAGAGGAGCAGGCGAGGC
rnacentral:lncRNA from 1 species